rnacentral:lncRNA from 1 species
CAAUCCCGGACUCACCUCCCUGCAAGUACGUUUGUUAUAAAACAUAAUACAGUACAUAAUAAGGUCGCGUGAACGAACUCUCAUGCACUCUCACUCACAGGUAUAAGGCAAUUCCAGCUUUUAGUUUAUGCCUGCAGGGGAUGAUGGGAAGUAAGGUAUCAUAUCGACAAUUAUGCUGAAAAAUGUCAAUAAAAACUACCGAAACAACCGAAAUAUUUCAAUAUUUACAAGUACAAGUUAUCACUCCGUGUUUACACGGCCACCAUUUUUAUUUUUUCAGCAUAAUCAGCAAUAUGAUACCUUACUUCCCAUCGUCCCCUGCACGCAUAAACUAAAAGCUGGAAUUGCCAAUUUUCCUGUGGGCAUUUGACCGUAAUUCUUCAAUGGCGUAUUGUUUUGAAAACGUCACGUAUAUUUACUAUUGCAAAGCUUUCGAUCCCUAAACUCGGGUCUUCAUCGGAGCAAAUACUGUAUUGGUUUGAAAAAGUCAUCUAUGUUAUAUGAUUAACAUUUUCAACCAAUCACGUACUAUUUAACAAUUAGUCGCCAAAGGCGAGGACGGGCUGAUUACAAGCAUAUAUUCACCGAGCCGAAUGUGUUAGUAUAAUUUCAGUAUUGAAAAAGUUCCAUUUAUAAAUACAACUAAUACACGUGUUCAUUUUAUGAAUAUAAUUUGCAUAAAUAAUUUACUUCCGUCCGAUUUUUAGCCAUUUUUUUGGAAAAGCAAUAGUAGCUGCUCAGAGCAGUCUGAGCAGUAACUGUUGCCUCAGAGUUACUGCUGAGAGAUCCAAUCAGAAUGCUCAAAGUCCAGUUUUCAAUACUGAAAUUAUACUAAAUUGCCAACUACAUCUGAACUCAAACUUGGACUAAUUGUAACAUAUUAUAGAACAAGAUAGCAUUGGUAUAGCUGCAGUUUAUGCUACGCCUUUUGGUAUAAAACAGAACACAAUGUCCUGGACUUGCAAAUAAUUUGUAGUCGUUUGGCCUUUGAAAGGCGAAAAUUACCACUGAUCCACAACGACAAGGUUGCGUUAGAGAUAUAUUAAAUGUUAAUUGUAAUGUCCAAUCAUGGUUAUAAACUAAUAUACUAUAUUGUUGUAGAUGAUUUAGACAAUGAAUGUGAGCUGCUGUUUACUGGCCUUUACUGUAAGUUGCAGAUGAUUUGAAUAAUGAAUGUAAGCUGUUUACUGCAGUUGUAGAUGAUUUAUAUAACGAAUGUUUUCAAUAUAGUUUUAAUUAAAGUAUUUUCUUGACAAAAAAUUGCGGAAUUGAUUUGGAAAACGUAAAUAUGGACUACAUGUAGCUACAGUUAUCUUUGAUUGUCAACGACAUUAUAGCUUAUCAUUUACAUGCGACAUUUUAACACGAAAUUACAUAUAAAUAUUGCGGCAAUAAAUGUUUUAGUACAAAAGGAAGUCAACAGAGAAUAUAGCAUUAAUGACCUUCUAAAUUAAAAUUGAAUAUACGAAAAAUAAUAAUGGACAUUGCUUUCAUUAUGAAGUCACAAAAUCUAAAAUCUAAACUGCAAAAGCUACAGAAUCGGUUGUCUCCAAUCUUCGUUAACUAAUAUUAAUGGUUCUAGGUUAAAUAAUCCAACAUUUGAGUUUAAUAAAAUAGACUUUAUUCAAUCAUGUGCAGGGCCGUAGCUAGACACGAUAAUUGGGGGUGCAUAUUCAUAUAUUCAUGUUCACAUACCAUAAAAACAAUCGAUUUCAAAAGAAAUCCGUCGGGCAGAACACGAAUAUAUGAAUAUACCCCCCCCAAUUAGCGUUCUAGCUACGGCCCUGGUCACUUGGCACUAUUUGGCAAAUUUUUACGAGGGGGAAAUCACUCGUAAGAUCAAAAAAUUGUUUGAUAUUUUUUCAUAUUUUUUACGUGAUUUUUUUUUUUCGUUUAUUCUGAAGUUUGUCCCUGGGAGUUUUAGUUUCAAAUUCAUGAAUUCUCGGUUUGCACAAUGAUAUGAAGAUGAUAUUUUAAAAGGGCUUUUCUUAGCUUCCUCCAUAGGAGGUGCGAAUGAAAUAUUUUUUCUUUCCCACAAUAACUUUGAAAAAUGGUACGUCUUUUUUCUAAUAUUCCGUUAUUUUGUGAAAGUUAUUUUUGACUGCCUAGUUAUUGUUUGUUUCGACUGCCAAGAAAUUUAUCUGACAGCCAUUCGGCAAAGAAUAUUCCCAGUGUUUAAAACUCACUGUCACUUAAAAAUAGGUCGUGAAAUUGCAGGCCGCUAGUUUUUUGACCCACAAAACAGCUUUUCACAUGACAAUUUGUCAUUUGCAGACCGUUAAAUUCGCGCAACGUUACUAGGCACCUUAUAUUAUUGGGAGUCACUGUGUUAAAACUUACUGUGUCGGACUUAAAACUUUUAACUUUGACACAUGCAGUUACCCCUGUUGAGAUGCCUGUGGGAUUUCGUGUUUUUCUCAAAGGACAAAGAUGAUGAAAUGUAGAUUGCCCCUUUCCAUUUUGAAGUCCUGUAGUAAACCUGAUUUUUGCUGCUGUUUUAUUAUGAUAGUAAGUCAUCAUACUGUAGAUUGCAAAUAUUUUGGAUUUAACCCAUUGAGCGCCAGCACUAUCCCCUUGACGAGUAACAUUGUUAGGCAUUGCACAUAAUUAAUAAAUGAUGAUACAACUCAAUGGGUUAACAUACAGAAUAGUUAUUAUAUGUAAAUAAUAUAUAGUUCACAUAUUGUCAGGAUUUUCAAAACCAUUGCAUUAAUUCCUUCCUUCCUGGUUUUGUUCCAAAUUGAAGGACUUUAUUAAAUAGGUUAACUUUAAAGAUCUGUAGAUACCUUCUGGAUAUUCUAUUGUCUGCAUCCACAAAGAAUGCCCAUUACGAUAGAUGAUCUCUUCAAACCCAAUGCUAUAAAAGAUGUGUAGGUAUAAAAUGAACCUACUUCGUUUUUGAUGCAUGGAUUGUCAUAUUACUUAUCUUGAGACCAAGGUCUAGGUACUCUUUUGUUUUCCCAAUCACCAAUGUCAAUAUUUUGAACUUCCUAAUAUACAAAAAUCAAUGAUUUAGGGUAAUAAGAAAUAUUAAUAAAUCAGUGCAUUUAUACCCUAGCCAGCCAGAGACUCGCGAU